CUUUAUGGCGGCUGUGUGCGGGCAGACCUCGGUCUGGCCGGAUUGCUCUCUUGCCGGUUUCUCACUCCGCACAUAGCUGCCACCUCU
rnacentral:antisense_RNA from 2 species